rnacentral:rRNA from 1 species
UACAGAGGGGGCAAGCGUUGUUCGGAAUUACUGGGCGUAAAGGGCGCGUAGGCGGCCAACUAAGUCAGACGUGAAAUCCCCUGGCUCAACCAGGGAACUGCGUCUGAUACUGGAUGGCUUGAAUCCGGGAGAGGGAUGUGGAAUUCCAGGUGUAGCGGUGAAAUGCGUAGAUAUCAGGAGGAACACCGGUGGCGAAGGCGGGAUCCUGGGCCAGUACUGACGCUGAGGAGCGAAAGCCAGGGGAGCAAACGGG